rnacentral:misc_RNA from 1 species
AGGUUCUGGACAAGGCGUUAUGAUGUGAAAGAUAGCACAAAAGUUCAAGUGGAUACAGAUGCUCAAGUACUCACGCAAUAGAAUGCCAAGCUUGCUAAAACAAGUUCAUGCAAUUCUCAACAUCAGAUGCCUGUGAAUCUAAUAAAACUUGCGCACUAGGACUAUAACUAACGGUCCUCAUUGCUGCAUCAAAUACAGCUUU